rnacentral:lncRNA from 1 species
AUGGCCCUGCGGCUGGAAAAGGAAAUGGAUUCCUCCAUGGGAAAAAGGACACAGACGGAAGACCCUCCACAAAUGUCAUACCAUGCAACACUGAGGAAGAGCACGGGCAGUAUUGUCCCAGAGGCUCCUGCCAGCCAACAGGAGAAGCGCGAGGGCCGGAGCUGCCCGUCCCAGAAGGCAGAGCAGGGCACGCUCCCCAGCGCCUCCACACUCAGCCCAGCUUCAACGCCCCCUGCAGCUGCGAGCUCCAAGCUGCACACGACGGGAAGCCUCGGCCCAGCUGAGGACACAGCGCCCAGCAUGUGCAGGGAGCUGGCAUGGCACCCGUCCCCGUGCCCCACGGCUCCACUGGUUCUCUGCUGUCAAUGAACAGUCAACCCGAGUCCUCGGCUGACGUUCAGAUCUACCCAGGGCCAUUUGCCUCUUCAC